ACCUUGUGUGUUUAUGCAGUUCUGGCAGUUACGACACUUUGGCGUGUUUCGUGCUGGAUGGGAGCUUGGAAGCUAAAUGAUGACUUGUUGUUAUGUGUUAAUUUGGUUGUGGUUUACUGAAUGUUAGCUUGCCAUGACUGUCAAAGUAGGGAUGAUCAAAUGCUGCUUUGGCUGAUAUUUUCUCACAUGGAUUAUACUUGGGCAUUUUCGAGAGAAAGUCCACUACUUCAGGUGACAAAGAGGGUACAACUCUUGUCAAGUUCUGAGGCUCCCACCUUGGCUACACAUGCCAGUCAUGCAAAGAGCCAACUCACAGCCCUUGUUGCUUUGUUGGAUUCCUCAUGAGGUUGAACAUGUUAAGAAGCUGCUGACGUUUGCGAAAUGAUUGUCGGCUGGUUGUUAGGUUUUUCGCGCUUGGCCGCAUUUGUGGCGGUACCUUUAGAUGGUUUCACUCUAUCAUCAGUAUUCUGGCUUGAAAGCAUUAAACCAUGAGUCGCACUGAGUUUGUUGAUUGGAAUGGAUGACACCGUCAGUUUGCAUAGGUAUGCCGCUUUGGUCUGUAGCUGCUACUUGAUUAGGUUUCGGCAUACUCAUCUCGAAAACCUCAGAAUCAAGCAACUGAUUAGGAAUGAUGAAUCGAGAUUGAAAUCAAUCGAAAGCAUAAUUAGAAUUAAUGGAAGUGAUAGUCAUUGAUGGAGAUUGAGAUGAACAAAAAUUGAAGAAACGAUAAUGGAGUUGAAUGCCAGGUCUUUCUAUCCUGUAUGCAGCUCGCCGGUGUUUGGCGUUGAUGGUUUAAUUUUUUAUCCUCAUAGAACCUCGGUGUUCCCUAGCAACAUCUGCAUCCGCAGCUUUGAGAAAGGGCUAUAUCCACUGUCCUACGACAUAUCAUGCAGCUUAUGACUAGAGAAGUGCAAGUGAAAAUUCGAGCAUGAUAUGUCGGAACAAAAGCGUAGCUUCAAAAGCACCGCCCUGAAACGAAGGCAAGAUUCCUUGACGAAACUCCUAUGAAGUCUCUGACGGCAACAACAGGUCCAUGUACGUCAACUUCUUCAGCAUCACAACCUACUGCAAUGCCAUCGCUUGUUUUAAGUGGUGUUUUUGGAACAUCAGACAUAUAGGCCCCUGACACAGUCGACGAAGUUGCAUCCGGCACAUCACAGGAAAAUUCAUGAUUAGGUGGUUUAGCAAUGCCAUAAAAAUGGAAGCGGAAAUUAUAUUAUUCCGUUACGUUCUUUUCAGUGUUAAUUGAAAUUAAACAUUUUUGAAUUAUGCAUUUUGGAGUGGACUGUUAUGUGUUUAGUA